GGUUAAGCGACUAAGCGUACACGGUGGAUGCCCUGGCAGUCAGAGGCGAUGAAGGACGUGCUAAUCUGCGAUAAGCGCCGGUAAGGUGAUAUGAACCGUUAUAACCGGCGAUUUCCGAAUGGGGAAACCCAGUGUGAUUCGUCACACUAUCAUUAACUGAAUCCAUAGGUUAAUGAGGCGAACCGGGGGAACUGAAACAUCUAAGUACCCCGAGGAAAAGAAAUCAACCGAGAUUCCCCCAGUAGCGGCGAGCGAACGGGGAGGAGCCCAGAGCCUGAAUCAGCAUGUGUGUUAGUGGAAGCGUCUGGAAAGGCGCGCGAUACAGGGUGACAGCCCCGUACACAAAAGCGCAUGUGCUGUGAGCUCGAUGAGUAGGGCGGGACACGUGGUAUCCUGUCUGAAUAUGGGGGGACCAUCCUCCAAGGCUAAAUACUCCUGACUGACCGAUAGUGAACCAGUACCGUGAGGGAAAGGCGAAAAGAACCCCGGCGAGGGGAGUGAAAAAGAACCUGAAACCGUGUACGUACAAGCAGUGGGAGCCCCACCACCAAAGCAUUCUCUGGUGUUGAAGGCCCUGCAAAGCAGCAUCGCGGUGGCGGAGCGUCGUUUGCGACGCCCAACACACAAAACAAGCGGUGAGUGCUUUGGGGUGGGGUGACUGCGUACCUUUUGUAUAAUGGGUCAGCGACUUAUAUUCUGUAGCAAGGUUAACCGAAUAGGGGAGCCGGAGGGAAACCGAGUCUUAAUUGGGCGUUAAGUUGCAGGGUAUAGACCCGAAACCCGGUGAUCUAGCCAUGGGCAGGUUGAAGGUUGGGUAACACUAACUGGAGGACCGAACCGACUAAUGUUGAAAAAUUAGCGGAUGACCUGUGGCUGGGGGUGAAAGGCCAAUCAAACCGGGAGAUAGCUGGUUCUCCCCGAAAGCUAUUUAGGUAGCGCCUCGUGAAUUCAUCUCCGGGGGUAGAGCACUGUUUCGGCUAGGGGGCCAUCCCGGCUUACCAACCCGAUGCAAACUGCGAAUACCGGAGAAUGUUAUCACGGGAGACACACGGCGGGUGCUAACGUCCGUCGUGAAGAGGGAAACAACCCAGACCGCCAGCUAAGGUCCCAAAGU
rnacentral:rRNA from 1 species